rnacentral:misc_RNA from 1 species
GAAAUGCGAUAAGUAGUGUGAAUUGCAGAAUUUAGCGAAUCAUCGAAUCUUUGAACGCACAUUGCGCCCCUUGGUAUUCCAUGGGGCAUGCCUGUUCGAGCGUCAUUUCAACCCUCAAGCACUGCUUGGUGUUGGGCGUUUGUCCCGCCUACGCGCGUGGACUCGCCUCAAAGUCAUUGGCGGCUGUUCCCCUCGGCUCGUAAGCGCAGCACAGUCGGCGCCCGGAGCUCUGGUGGGAUGGCGUCCAGCAAGCUAUAUUUUCAGGCUUGACCUCGGAUCAGGUAGGGAUACCCGCUGAACUUAAGC